rnacentral:rRNA from 1 species
AGUGAACGCUGGCGGUAGGCCUAACACAUGCAAGUCGAACGGCAGCACAGUAAGAGCUUGCUCUUACGGGUGGCGAGUGGCGGACGGGUGAGGAAUACAUCGGAAUCUACUUUUUCGUGGGGGAUAACGUAGGGAAACUUACGCUAAUACCGCAUACGACCUACGGGUGAAAGCAGUGGAUCUUCGGACCUUGCGCGAUUGAAUGAGCCGAUGUCGGAUUAGCUAGUUGGCGGGGUAAAGGCCCACCAAGGCGACGAUCCGUAGCUGGUCUGAGAGGAUGGUCAGCCGCCCUGGAACUGAGACACGGUCCAGGCUCCUACGGGAGGCAGCAGUGGGGAAUAUUAGACAAUGGGCGCAAGCCUGAUCCAGCCAUACCGCGUGGGUGAAGAAGGCGUUCGGGUUGUAAAGCCCUUUUGUUGGGAAAGAAAAGCAGCAGGUUAAUACCCCGCUGUUCUGACGGUACCCAAAGAAUAAGCACCGGCUAACUUCGUG